CGACGCAGACGCACGCGUUCUUUUUGGAGACUUUCUCAAAGGCAAGGGAAAAAUUCAGCGAAGGAUGUAUGGAGGAAGCUCUUGCAAAACUGCCCAAGUUGAAAGAUGUGGAAUCACCUAAAGUGCCAUCAUCAGUUCUGUGGCGGAACAUUUUUUUUUAAAAAAGGGACAUGUGAGUUUCAGGAUUCAAAUGAAUCAAUGAAGAAAUAGCAGGAUUCUUGCACCAGAUCGAUGAAAAAGAGGAGUCACGUAAACCUAAGAAAAAUUGAGCAGGUUGUUAAAAGCACAUCCAGUAAAUGUAGAGGAGAGUGGUGGUUGGCACUGGUGAUGAAAGAAGCUGCAUCACAUUUUUCUGGGAUUGCUGGUCCAGAAAGAUAAUGGUGCCUUUUCUCUUACUGGUCCAUAAUCAACAACUUCCAGGCAUCAACCAUCUCUCCCGAUGAAAUCAUCAACAUUUCCCGUGAUGGCCCUGACUUCAAGAACAGUGAUGGCUCGGUGGCCCCACGCUUCUGCAGAGUCAUUUGCAAAAGUGAAGCCAGCAAACGUAAAUUCAUCUCCACAGUAAACUCCCUCACCAAAAGCUGCACAAACCAUAAGAAACUUCGUUCACGGCCCGACCUGUUCAUCCUACAACAUGCCUGCGCCUGCGAGCUCCGCUCUGAGCUCAAAAGACGCCAGGACCAAGGAGAGAUUAACCUGUACAUAGACUACCGCGGUAACUGCAUCAAACACAAGACCAGAUCCUGCGUCUCAACAAUUGCCCCCAACAACCAGAACUAGGAAUGCAUGCCCCCAACUUCCUCCAGGUCAACCCCUACUGACCUCAAAUGCAAGCUACUUAAUGCAAGAAGCCUCACAUACAAAAUACCCGAAUUCCUCCUGCUACUAAAUGCAACUGUAUUCGACCUUAUUUUUGUCUGAGAUGUGGUUAAAUGUAUCCUUUCCAGACUCCAUUAUUACAAUUCUCGACUGCCGUGUGAUGUUUACGAGCAGUAUGUUGCCUGGAAGUUAAUUUGAAUUCAAUGUUGAUGCUCAAUAAAUAAUUUGCACUAUAGCAACAUUAAA